GGUUAAAUGCGGAAGACACACUUCAGUUGUACACCUGACUAGGUUACGCUCUACCAACUGAGCCACACCGAACCACAACCUAGAUCUACUGAUGUUACUGACUCGCUUCUCACUGACAGGAUGACCUCACCAAUUUCCCAGCCACCCACACUGCUGUUGCUGCUGCCAUGGCGAUAAGACGGGUCAGGACAAGACCUCGCCACCACAUCACAAAUCAGGGUCAUUCGUAACCCCUGGGGUGUAUCACAGCAACUAAUAAAUCCUUGCAGAAAA